rnacentral:rRNA from 1 species
GUUCAACGGCCGCGGUAUCCUAACCGUGCGAAGGUAGCGUAAUCACUUGUUCUUUAAAUAAGGACUAGUAUGAAUGGCACCACGAAGGUUACACUGUCUCCUUUCUCUAAUCAGUGAAACUAAUCUUCCCGUGAAGAAGCGGGAAUAAGACUAUAAGACGAGAAGACCCUAUGGAGCUUUAAAUAAUGCAGCAAAUGCUACAAACCCACUAAACCCCAGGACCUCAUACUCUUUCUUGCAUUAUGCCCGCAAAUUUUAGGUUGGGGUGACCGCGGAGCAAAACACAACCUCCACGCUGAAAUGAACCACAUUCUUAGCCACGAGUAACAACUCUAAGCAUCAAUAUACUGACACCUAUUGACCCAAUAUAAUUGAACAACGAACCAAGUUACCCUAGGGAUAACAGCGCAAUCCACUUCAAGAGCCCCUAUCGACAAGUGGGUUUACGACCUCGAUGUUGGAUCAGGGUCUCCCAGUGGUGCAGCCGCUACUAAAGGUUCGUUUGUUCAACGAUUAAAACCC